UACGUAGGGUGCGAGCGUUGUCCGGAAUUAUUGGGCGUAAAGAGCUCGUAGGCGGUUUGUCGCGUCGGCUGUGAAAACCCGGGGCUUAACUCUGGGACUGCAGUCGAUACGGGCAGACUUGAGUUCGGUAGGGGAGACUGGAAUUCCUGGUGUAGCGGUGAAAUGCGCAGAUAUCAGGAGGAACACCGGUGGCGAAGGCGGGUCUCUGGGCCGAUACUGACGCUGAGACGCGAAAGCGUGGGGAGCGAACAGG
rnacentral:rRNA from 1 species